rnacentral:rRNA from 2 species
CGCACGGUAAACGAUGGAUGCCCGCUGUUCGCCCAUUAGGGUGAGCGGCCAAGCGAAAGCGUUAAGCAUCCCACCUGGGGAGUACGCCGGCAACGGUGAAACUCAAAGGAAUUGACGGGGGCCCGCACAAGCGGAGGAACAUGUGGUUUAAUUCGAUGAUACGCGAGGAACCUUACCCGGGCUUGAACUGCCAGUGAACGAUUCAGAGAUGAUGAGGCCCUUCGGGGCGCUGGUGGAGGUGC